CAUCGCUAAAAAAGAACAACAUUUUUCGAAAUUAUAUCGUGAAAACGUUGAAUAGAAAUGACAUAAAAUUUUUAUAGAUCUUUUAAAAGCUAGGAACAUCGGUAAAUCUAAAGAUUGUUGGCAAUAAAACAAAAGUAAUAAUAAUGUUCGUGCAUAAUAAGUGAAUCUAAUCGAUCAUACUUGAAUGAUUAAGAUCAUCAAGUGUGUCUGUGUCGUUUAAUUUUACUUCUUCUGAAUAUUAAUAUAAUAGUAAGAAAAGUGAUUUUUGCCUCUGUGGAAAGAUUAUAAAAAUAUUCGCGUAUGAAGGAAUACAAAGUUAUUGAUCGAAUCGGAUGUAAUUAGCAAACAACAUACAAUAGAUUAAAUAUCGAGACAGUGUUUGACAAUUAAUUUGACAAUUACAAAUUAUCGUAAUUAAAAGUAGAUAUACGCUACACACGUGCAUCGAUAUUUGAAAACCAGAAUUGCUGGAUGCAUCAUUUGUGUGAUGUGCGUGCAAACCUGUCCUGCACUUAAGACACGCGUGUACGGAUACCGGAAAAGAAAAAUAUACGAAGAAUGAGAUAUGCUUCGCAUUAUAACGAUUCUGAUUAUUGCAAACUUUUUCCGUUCAAUUGCACUGGUGAUUGAUCAUAUAUCUUGAAAAACAAUCAUUUCCAACUGGUACAUGGUUAAUAAUUUUUGUUUUUUUUUUUAUCUCUUUACUGGAUUGUUAACAAGCUCGAGACAGAAUGUUUUUUACGAAUGUAUAGAAUGUACAGUGUAGUACUUGUAAAUACAUGACAUUAAUCUUAAAAGACCUUGAAAGUGUGGAACAUUUAAAGUUAAUAAUACGAUAGAAUCAUGUCUUGUCCAAUUAAGUUUCUUAUUAAUAUCGGCAUUUGCAUAUUUUUAGUCGAAGCAGCUUGUUUGAUCUUGUACGUGAAUCUUUAAUCAUCAUAUAACGCGAAAUCGAAAUUGGACGCGAGGCAUUGCGUGCUGAUUCACUCGAGGACAAAGACACGCGCCGCUACUUGAAUCUUCAUGAUAGCGUUUAGCCAUUAAAAAUGCUACUCUCGUAGGUGGAAGUGACCGCAAAGAGGACAAUGUUUGCCAGUCAAGUCGUCAGCACAAAAGAAAAAAUAGAAGGGAAUUUCACAUAAUAGAAAGAAACGAAUAAAAAUUUGAUCGAGGAAUAGUGAAAGAAUCGCACGAACCUUGCGGAGGGAAUACGUUCUCCAAAAAAUGAGCCAAUGUGAUCGUUGUGACCGAUCCGAGGUGUGAAUGGUAGUCGAUUCCAGCGUACUGCCCGAUUGAUGAUUGAAAAGCCGCGAGACCAGGCCCCUCAACUCUCCACCGCUAGGUCGUCCGCGAUGAAUUUUUCAAAGCGUACCACCCGCCUCGUGGGGAGGGCUAACUUGCAUGAAUCUGGUAUUCUGAACGCGGCUGGACGCCCAUAUAUACCUACUCCAUCGUCGCAGGGGCCCCUCGGCUCCCGCACCCUACGCGGAGGCCCUGUCUCCGACGUCCUUGACCACGAAGAAAACCAUCAUGUACGUACACCAAUUCUCGACCUUACACGCCAUGGCAACGACACAUCGUUGUCGUGAUUUUGUGUGCGUGUUGCUGCAUCUCUGCUUGCAUCUUUCCAAGAGUUGUUCGCGCCUUCUAAUCUCUCUGCACGCGGAACAAUCUGGAAACGGCUGCUUUCAUGGGACAUUAAAAUUGUUCGCUGUUACCGUUUAUAAUUUUAUGUAUCCUCGCUCGAAAGAUUAUUGUACCAUUGGAUUGGAAGGAAGAUGCGAUGAAAAUUGAUUACUUUGUAACAAUGAAAAUAAUACUUGUCUUCGAUCCUCCGAGUUUUCUGAAAACAAAAAGUGGUUUGAAAGGAAUUUUAAAAAAAAAUUUGCCCGAUCAAAUUCAAAUUUGAACAUAUAUAAUAUAUAUAUGUAUAUCCGUGCAUUUAUUAUUUUACAAUACGCGAACCGGUUGUCCAAAAAUUCAAAUCAUAUAAAUUUACGAUUUACAAUCCGGAUCCGGUUUAAUGUAUGGAUGAAAUUUUUUAAUUAUGUCCAUUAUUACGACACACUAACCAUUUUAAAAACUAUUUCAAAAGAUUGAUGGGGACCUUUACGAAAUCGUUCGAGGUAUGACAGUAUUCUAUUAUCUUCAAAUUAGCACGAUUGAUACAUUAUCAAUUUCAAGGGAUAACACGUUCUGUUACGUAUGCCAUUCUCGUCCUCUCUUUGAUAUACCUUGGCUUCAAUGAUGCUGGAAACCUGUUGGUAUAAAUAUUUCCGCUAUGAAAUCCGCUGGUCAAUCGUAAUUCGCAAAUUUAUUACAAUUACAAGAGAUCAAGAAUUGAAUAUGGUAGAGAUGAAAUUACCAUGUGUCACGAAAAAAACAUGUUUCUUUUUUUUUAUAAUAAAUUGGGCAUCGGUUCAAAAAAUACAAUGCACUCUGAUCGACGUUUUGUAUUGUAUAAUAAGAUGCAAGUUCGGGAGAACGACUUUUAUCGUGUUCCAGAGAAAUUGAGUGGUUCCAGACAAAAGAUAAAACGGAAAAACGAAAAGGGAAAAAUAGAAUUGGUUUCGAAAACAAAGGAUUAAAUUCUAUUAUAUUUUUAUCACGAAGCGAAACAGAAGAUAACCAAUUAGGAUUUCUUCUCGAAGAACUUGAAUUCGAGAAUUGAUUGCAGCCUGAGGAUCUCUGUAGCAUCCUAUAAAAAAAUAAGGCAAUUUAGUGUAAAAAUGCCGAUGAUUCGCCUUGAACUUGCGACCGGUUAUUUUAUCGACCUGUUUUCUAACAGAGAGAGAGAGAAAGAGAGAGAAAGAGAUAGAAAAAAAAGAAAGAAAGAUUGGACAAGAAACCUAAACUAACUAAAAAAACUUUUAUAAGUAACAAAUUUUUAACACUGGAAUCGCGAUUAGAAGAAGGGAAAGAAGGAUAAAACGAUAAAAAAAAAAAAGAAGAAAGACAGGAUGGGACAGGUAUUCAAAUUUAGAAAAAUGUCAAUAUGUUUAAUUGUUUCUCAUUCCUCCGAAUGAAUCCAGCGUGAAAGAUCCAGUUUGUGCUCGAGGGCCAACACAGAUUAUUGACGUAGUCUUUGAGGUUCAUUGGCAUCGGGAAGUCAAAUGUGUUUCGAUACAGGUUGUAUGAGUUUUUCGUACGUAGAACCUGUUAAAGCGUUUUAACGGCUAAACGGAAUGCAUAAUUAAAUCAUAUAGCUAUAACUUGUAUGACAAACUACCAUAUCACAAAUAGAUUUAUAAGGAAAGGAUAUGUAACGUCGUUAUAUGGCGUGCGACAUAAUUGUACAAGAUUUGUGAAAAGAAUGAAUGAAAUGAAUAGAAAUAGAGAAAAGGAAAGUCUCGAGGAUAGCCGAACGAUAAAUUUUACUUGUUAAAUGUUAUUUUACUAUUUAUCAAAAGCCUUGAUCUAAUAGAAUGAUAUAUUGUGUCGCCCAUUUGGUCGAAUCAAAAAAAAAUCAUUAAUGCAUUUUUUCUUUCCAAAGUUAGUAUUUAAGAUCGUUUAAAAUUUUCCUAUGGAUGUGUAUGACACGAGAAAGCUAUUAACAGAAAAGUAAUAGAUAAUUCGGCAGGCAUAAACGUUAAUUCGUUUCGUUCGUGCCAUGUUUCUAUCAAUCUAUGUGAUUUAUACAAUAUACCUUGAAAGGUCAGAGAAUUCUGGUAAAGUCAUGGGGAUCGUCGUUUGUCAGUUCAAAAUUACGAAGAAAUACUUACAAAAAGAAGAAAUCUCAAACUGCUUUUAAUUACGUCAUCUAUAGUGUUAGAUAUUACGAUGAUUGUUUCGACGAAAAUAAGAAAGAAAGAAAAGGAAAAAGAAGAAAAGAUAAAUUUUACAAAUAAUGAAAAAAUUAUUCAACUUGGUUCGAAAGAAUUGUAGCGCCAAGAUAUACAUUCGAUGUCAAAGAAACUGAACUGUAACAUGAUCGACACGCGACACAUGGCUUCGAGUUCGAAGGAUCUUAAGAAUCAAGGCCACGACACCAGUCUCGAGUCAGCUUUCUGGUUACUGGUUAGUGACCCACACCCAGAACGCGAAGAUUUCGAUUAUCGUGCAUGGAUUAUUGGAACUCCCUUCCUCUCCUUCCUCUUUUCUUCUCUUUUACUUCUUUUUUCCUUUGUCCUCUCAUACUUCUUUUCUAUUUCUUCGUAACUUCUCAAUGCGAAAGAUAUCGAAUAUCUUCGGUAUUUAUCGCUCUUCAUCUUCAUCUACAUUCAUCUGUCACGAUCACAUUUCAACCCCCCACGAACAUCAUUCGUAUAAAAGUUCGUAGCUUGAAACUCUCAGGGCACUUCCACAGAAUACAGCUAACAGAAACAAUACUUGUAUUUGCAAUAAUAUAGGUAA